rnacentral:rRNA from 2 species
GGGGCACUGCGGCGUGCCUAUACAUGCAGUCGAACGAACUCUGGUAUUGAUUGGUGCUUGCAUCAUGAUUUACAUUUGAGUGAGUGGCGAACUGGUGAGUAACACGUGGGAAACCUGCCCAGAAGCGGGGGAUAACACCUGGAAACAGAUGCUAAUACCGCAUAACAACUUGGACCGCAUGGUCCGAGUUUGAAAGAUGGCUUCGGCUAUCACUUUUGGAUGGUCCCGCGGCGUAUUAGCUAGAUGGUGAGGUAACGGCUCACCAUGGCAAUGAUACGUAGCCGACCUGAGAGGGUAAUCGGCCACAUUGGGACUGAGACACGGCCCAAACUCCUACGGGAGGCAGCAGUAGGGAAUCUUCCACAAUGGACGAAAGUCUGAUGGAGCAACGCCGCGUGAGUGAAGAAGGGUUUCGGCUCGUAAAACUCUGUUGUUAAAGAAGAACAUAUCUGAGAGUAACUGUUCAGGUAUUGACGGUAUUUAACCAGAAAGCCACGGCUAACUACGUGCCAGCAGCCGCGGUAAUACGUAGGUGGCAAGCGUUGUCCGGAUUUAUUGGGCGUAAAGCGAGCGCAGGCGGUUUUUUAAGUCUGAUGUGAAAGCCUUCGGCUCAACCGAAGAAGUGCAUCGGAAACUGGGAAACUUGAGUGCAGAAGAGGACAGUGGAACUCCAUGUGUAGCGGUGAAAUGCGUAGAUAUAUGGAAGAACACCAGUGGCGAAGGCGGCUGUCUGGUCUGUAACUGACGCUGAGGCUCGAAAGUAUGGGUAGCAAACAGGAUUAGAUACCCUGGUAGUCCAUACCGUAAACGAUGAAUGCUAAGUGUUGGGAGGGUUUCCGCCCUUCAGUGCUGCAGCUAACGCAUUAAGCAUUCCGCCUGGGGAGUACGGCCGCAAGGCUGAAACUCAAAGGAAUUGACGGGGGCCCGCACAAGCGGUGGAGCAUGUGGUUUAAUUCGAAGCUACGCGAAGAACCUUACCAGGUCUUGACAUACUAUGCAAAUCUAAGAGAUUAGACGUUCCCUUCGGGGACAUGGAUACAGGUGGUGCAUGGUUGUCCUCAGCUCGUGUCAUGAAAUGUUGGGUUAAGUCCCGCAACGAGCCCAACCCUUAUUAUCAUUUGCCAGCAUUAAAUUUGGCACCUCUGGUGAAACUGCCGGUACAAACCCGAAGAAAAGGUGGGGAUAAGGGCAAAUCUCCUCGCCCCUUAUAACCUGGGCUACACCCGGGGGGAAAGGG